rnacentral:rRNA from 1 species
GGCCUAACACAUGCAAGUCGAGCGGCAGCGGGGGGAAGCUUGCUUCCCCGCCGGCGAGCGGCGGACGGGUGAGUAAUGUCUGGGGAUCUGCCUGAUGGAGGGGGAUAACUACUGGAAACGGUAGCUAAUACCGCAUGACGUCGCGAGACCAAAGUGGGGGACCUUCGGGCCUCACGCCAUCGGAUGAACCCAGAUGGGAUUAGCUGGUAGGUGGGGUAACGGCUCACCUAGGCGACGAUCCCUAGCUGGUCUGAGAGGAUGACCAGCCACACUGGAACUGAGACACGGUCCAGACUCCUACGGGAGGCAGCAGUGGGGAAUAUUGCACAAUGGGCGCAAGCCUGAUGCAGCCAUGCCGCGUGUGUGAAGAAGGCCUUCGGGUUGUAAAGCACUUUCAGCGGGGAGGAAGGGAGCAGGGUUAAUAACCUUGUUCAUUGACGUUACCCGCAGAAGAAGCACCGGCUAACUCCGUGCCAGCAGCCGCGGUAAUACGGAGGGUGCAAGCGUUAAUCGGAAUGACUGGGCGUAAAGCGCACGCAGACGAUCUGUUAAGUUGGAUGUGAAAUCCCCGGGCUUAACCUGGGAACUGCAUUCAAAACUGACAGGCUAGAGUCUCGUAGAGGGGGGUAGAAUUCCAGGUGUAGCGGUGAAAUGCGUAGAGAUCUGGAGGAAUACCGGUGGCGAAGGCGGCCCCCUGGACGAAGACUGACGCUCAGGUGCGAAAGCGUGGGGAGCAAACAGGAUUAGAUACCCUGGUAGUCCACGCUGUAAACGAUGUCGAUUUGGAGGUUGUGCCCUUGAGGCGUGGCUUCCGGAGCUAACGCGUUAAAUCGACCGCCUGGGGAGUACGGCCGCAAGGUUAAAACUCAAAUGAAUUGACGGGGGCCCGCACAAGCGGUGGAGCAUGUGGUUUAAUUCGAUGCAACGCGAAGAACCUUACCUACUCUUGACAUCCAGAGAAGACUGCAGAGAUGCGGUUGUGCCUUCGGGAGCUCUGAGACAGGUGCUGCAUGGCUGUCGUCAGCUCGUGUUGUGAAAUGUUGGGUUAAGUCCCGCAACGAGCGCAACCCUUAUCCUCUGUUGCCAGCACGUUAUGGUGGGAACUCAGGGGAGACUGCCGGUGAUAAACCGGAGGAAGGUAGGGAUGACGUCAAGUCAUCAUGGCCCUUACGAGUAGGGCUACACACGUGCUACAAUGGCGCAUACAAAGAGAAGCGACCUCGCGAGAGCAAGCGGACCUCAUAAAGUGCGUCGUAGUCCGGAUUGGAGUCUGCAACUCGACUCCAUGAAGUCGGAAUCGCUAGUAAUCGUAGAUCAGAAUGCUACGGUGAAUACGUUCCCGGGCCUUGUACACACCGCCC